UUCGCAAUGCCCGAAAGGGUGACGAAGCGACGCCGCGUGGGUGAGGAAGGCCUUCGGGUUGUAAAGCCCUGUCAGGAGUUAAGAAAUGUAAGUGCGCUAAUAUCGCAUUUAUUUGACAAAGGCUCCAAAGGAAGCCACGGCUAACUCUGUGCCAGCAGCCGCGGUAAUACAGAGGUGGCAAGCGUUGUUCGGAAUUAUUGGGCGUAAAGAGCACGUAGGUGGGUAUGUAAGUCAGAUGUGAAAGCCUUCUGUUCAACGGAAGAAUUGCAUCUGAAACUACAAGUCUUGAGUGUAGGAGGGGAGAAUGGAACUUCUGGUGGAGCGGUGAAAUGCGUAGAUAUCAGAAGGAACGCCGGCGGCGAAAGCGAUUCUCUGGCCUAUUACUGACACUCAGUGUGCGAAAGCUAGGGGAGCAAACGGGAUUAGAUACCCCGGUAGUCCUAGCCGUAAACGAUGGGCACUAAGUAGAGGGGUUUU
rnacentral:rRNA from 1 species